rfam:Lunatimonas lonarensis strain AK24 S14_contig_17, whole genome shotgun sequence.
GGGGCUGACCGGUUUUGACAGUAGGUGUAAGGAUCGGGCUCGCAUGCAGGCUGGAGUAUGUACGGCCUUGAAUCAUUCAUACGAACCAUAAUUGGCGAAUCUAAUUACGCCAUGGCUGCCUAAUCUUACCCUUCGGGGAUAUAGAUACGCUUAAAGGGUUGAGUUUCGAGAGAUGCUCCCCGGCCACAUCCCACCGUCCGUUGCGCUGUCCGGGUGGAGUUGGGGUGUCGACCUGACAGGGCUGCUUCCCGCGAGGCUACUAAGCGGGACUAAGAUCAGUGGCUAAGCUGUUGUCCGGUGUGUCACCCAGCAAACAACGGUCGAAAAUCCAACAGGUGACUAAGCAUGUAGACGGUACGGUGUUUCCCUAUCUGGACGCGAGUUCGAAUCUCGCCAGCUCCACCU